rnacentral:rRNA from 1 species
CAGCAGCCGCGGUAACACCGAGGGUGCGAGCGUUAAUCGGAUUUACUGGGCGUAAAGCGUGCGUAGGCGGCUUUUUAAGUCGGAUGUGAAAUCCCUGAGCUUAACUUAGGAAUUGCAUUCGAUACUGGGAAGCUAGAGUAUGGGAGAGGAUGGUAGAAUUCCAGGUGUAGCGGUGAAAUGCGUAGAGAUCUGGAGGAAUACCGAUGGCGAAGGCAGCCAUCUGGCCUAAUACUGACGCUGAGGUACGAAAGCAUGGGGAGCAAACAGGAUUAGAUACCCGUGUAGUCCCUGUCUCUUAUAC